rfam:Vibrio variabilis DNA, contig: contig00006, strain: JCM 19239.
UAUUUUUUCUCGAUGAUCAGGGUCCAGCAACAAAAACCCGACUAUCGGGGUUUUUUGUUAUUUGCGCUUUUUAAAAGGCUGCAAAUACAAGUGCUUGGAAUUUAAAUUGGGCUAUAUGCCCUUUUUUU